rnacentral:rRNA from 1 species
GACAGAGGUGCCGAGCGUUAGGCGGAAUCACUGGGCUUAAAGCGUGUGUAGGCGGAUCGUUAAGUGCCUUGUGAAAUCCCACGGCUCAACCGUGGAACUGCUUGGCAUACUGGCGAUCUUGAGCCACUUAGUGGCUACCGGAACAAAUGGUGGAGCGGUGAAAUGCGUAGAUAUCAUUUGGAACGCCAAUGGUGAAAACAGGUAGCUGGGAGUGUGCUGACGCUGAGACACGAAAGCCAGGGGAGCAAACGGG